CUGAUUUCGGGGAACGCUGCCAGAUAUCAGAGACCGGCUGCCACCCAGAUGAGGAAUAUCAAGCACAGGUGGAGAUACUUCUAUAUCCAUGGAAAUUGGAUUUCUGUCUGACGAGAGCAGCGUUUGCUAACAAGUCUGAGUUGAAUGUCUCUGGCCCAGAGAGAGGAGACCUGCCGGCUGCAGCCCUGCUGUCCUUUGAAAGCUGAGAACUUUAAAGUGCAGCCAAAUGCUUAGUGAGUGAGGAAUGAUGUGCAAUGGAAAGAUUGUGCCUUACUUCCUGCUAACAUGCUCCGCAUACUAUACCUCAUCUAUUAUACCUUCUUCAAAGCUGUGGCUCAAUUCCGGGCCUGGCUGCCAAUCUCCCCUUAUACUGGGCCCCUCUGCAGGGUGCAAGUAUGACUCUCCAAAUAUACAGCUUAUUGCUAUUAAUAAAUUAUUUGUUUCAUGGUCUUGGAUCUAGA